UGAUAUACGAUAUUUGUGAAAGUAAAGAACAAAAAACUCGUAACCUAUUUAUAGUCAAAACAAAAAAUUAAUCA
rnacentral:misc_RNA from 1 species